GCAAACUUGGUCAUUUAGAGGAAGUAAAAGUCGUAACAAGGUCUCCGUAGGUGAACCUGCGGAGGGAUCAUUACAGAGUUCAUGCCCUCCAUGGGUAGAUCUCCCACCCUUGCGUAUUCAUACCUUUGUUGCUUUGGCAGGCCGCUGGGCCUUGGUCCAGCCACCGGCCGCGAGGCUGGCGUGCGCCUGCCAGAGGAUCUCCAAACUCGGGUUGUUAGUGUCGUCUGAGUAUCAUGCAAUCGUUAAAACUUUCAACAACGGAUCUCUUGGUUCUGGCAUCGAUGAAGAACGCAGC
rnacentral:misc_RNA from 1 species